UACGAGGGGAGCAAGCGUUGUUCGGAUUUACUGGGCGUAAAGGGCGCGUAGGCGGCGUGACAAGUCACUUGUGAAAUCUCCGGGCUUAACUCGGAACGGUCAAGUGAUACUGUCGUGCUAGAGUACAGAAGGGGCAACUGGAAUUCUUGGUGUAGCGGUGAAAUGCGUAGAUAUCAAGAGGAACACCUGAGGUGAAGACGGGUUGCUGGGCUGACACUGACGCUGACAGCGCGAAAGCCAGGGGAGCAAACGGG
rnacentral:rRNA from 1 species